rnacentral:rRNA from 1 species
ACUCCUACGGGAGGCAGCAGUGGGGAAUCUUAGACAAUGGGCGCAAGCCUGAUCUAGCCAUGCCGCGUGAGUGAUGAAGGCCUUAGGGUCGUAAAGCUCUUUCGCCAGGGAUGAUAAUGACAGUACCUGGUAAAGAAACCCCGGCUAACUCCGUGCCAGCAGCCGCGGUAAUACGGAGGGGGUUAGCGUUGUUCGGAAUUACUGGGGCGUAAAGCGCGCGUAGGCGGAUUAGUCAGUUAGAGGUGAAAUCCCGGGGCUCAACCCCGGAACUGCCUUUAAUACUGCUAGUCUUGAGUUCGAGAGAGGUGAGUGGAAUUCCGAGUGUAGAGGUGAAAUUCGUAGAUAUUCGGAGGAACACCAGUGGCGAAGGCGGCUCACUGGCUCGAUACUGACGCUGAGGUGCGAAAGUGUGGGGAGCAAACAGGAUUAGAUACCCUGGUAGGAUAGCG